UGGAACGUACCCUUUGGUUCGGGACAACUCUGGGAAACUGGAGCUAAUACCGGAUACGCCCUUUUGGGGAAAGGUUUACUGCCGAAGGAUCGGCCCGCGUCUGAUUAGCUAGUUGGUGGGGUAACGGCCUACCAAGGCGACGAUCAGUAGCUGGUCUGAGAGGAUGAUCAGCCACACUGGGACUGAGACACGGCCCAGACUCCUACGGGAGGCAGCAGUGGGGAAUAUUGGACAAUGGGCGCAAGCCUGAUCCAGCCAUGCCGCGUGAGUGAUGAAGGCCUUAGGGUUGUAAAGCUCUUUUAUCCGGGACGAUAAUGACGGUACCGGAGGAAUAAGCCCUGGCUAACUUCGUGCCAGCAGCCGCGGUAAUACGAAGGGGGCUAGCGUUGCUCGGAAUCACUAGGCGUAAAGGGCGCGUAGGCGGCGUUUUAAGUCGGGGGUGAAAGCCUGUGGCUCAACCACAGAAUGGCCUUCGAUACUGGGACGCUUGAGUCUGGUAGAGGUUGGUGGAACUGCGAGUGUAGAGGUGAAAUUCGUAGAUAUUCGCAAGAACACCGGUGGCGAAGGCGGCCAACUGGACCGGCACUGACGCUGAG
rnacentral:rRNA from 1 species